UACGUAGGGGGCAAGCGUUGUCCGGAAUCAUUGGGCGUAAAGAGCGUGUAGGCGGUUCGGUAAGUCGGCUGUGAAAGUCCAGGGCUCAACCCUGGGAUGCCGGUCGAUACUGCCGGACUAGAGUUCGGAAGAGGCGAGUGGAAUUCCCGGUGUAGCGGUGAAAUGCGCAGAUAUCAGGAGGAACACCAAUGGCGAAGGCAGCUCGCUGGGACGUGACUGACGCUGAGACGCGAAAGCGUGGGGAGCAAACAGG
rnacentral:rRNA from 1 species